GCCAGCAGCCAUAUCGCCCUGCAACUCUAAAUUGAUAACCCACUGAAGCUAAGCAGGUGUGAGCCUGGUUGGUACCUGGAUGGGAGACCUCCUGGGAAAAAAACUAAGGCUGGUGCUGGAA
rnacentral:rRNA from 1 species